rnacentral:misc_RNA from 1 species
AAGUCGUAACAAGGUUUCCGUAGGUGAACCUGCGGAAGGAUCAUUAAUGAAAUUAUGACUGGGGUUGUAGCUGGCCUAUAAAACGGCAUGUGCACGCUCCUUUCACAAUCCACACACACCUGUGCACCUUCGCGGGGGUCUUUUUUUCUCUUCGGGGGGAAUAAAGGCUCGCGUCCCUUUACACACCCUUUGUAUGUCUUAAGAAUGUCUACUCGAUGUAAUAAAACGCAUCUAAUACAACUUUCAACAACGGAUCUCUUGGCUCUC